ACGCUCGACACCUACGGGCAGCAGUGGGGGAUAUUGCACAAUGGGGGAAACCCUGAUGCAGCAACGCCGCGUGAAGGAAGAAGGUCUUCGGAUUGUAAACUUCUGUCCUCAGGGAAGAUAAUGACGGUACCUGAGGAGGAAGCUCCGGCUAACUACGUGCCAGCAGCCGCGGUAAUCUGAGCGGGCUGGCAAGGC
rnacentral:rRNA from 1 species